CCCUGGCUCAGGACGAACGCUGGCGGCGUGCCUAAUACAUGCAAGUCGAGCGGAGUUGAUGAGGUGCUUGCACCUCUGAUACUUAGCGGCGGACGGGUGAGUAACACGUGGGUAACCUGCCUAUAAGACUGGGAUAACAUUCGGAAACGAAUGCUAAUACCGGAUACGCGAUUUGGUCGCAUGAUCGAAUCGGGAAAGAUGGAGCAAUCUAUCACUUAUAGAUGGACCCGCGGCGCAUUAGCUAGUUGGUGAGGUAACGGCUCACCAAGGCGACGAUGCGUAGCCGACCUGAGAGGGUGAUCGGCCACACUGGGACUGAGACACGGCCCAGACUCCUACGGGAGGCAGCAGUAGGGAAUCUUCCGCAAUGGACGAAAGUCUGACGGAGCAACGCCGCGUGAGUGAUGAAGGUUUUCGGAUCGUAAAGCUCUGUUGCCAGGGAAGAAUGCUUGGGAGAGUAACUGCUCCCAAGGUGACGGUACCUGAGAAGAAAGCCCCGGCUAACUA
rnacentral:rRNA from 1 species